GGAGCCGUGCCUGAAAUAAAGGGCCACUUUGAUAGAGUGCCUUAUGAGAGUUAAAGUCCCUCCGCCUCCA
rnacentral:tRNA from 1 species